rnacentral:lncRNA from 1 species
GAACAAAACAGCCCCUGCUAUCAGAGAGCUCCAGUCUGGUUGGGAAGGCCUGUUCUUCAUGCAUGAAUGGAGAAGAUGGUUAGUCAUCCUGCAGUGGUUUAGUGAGCACCUGCUGUUCUCAGUGAAGGCUACUGCACGCAGGCCUCUUCUCACGGACCUCAACGAACGCUGAGCUGCUCUUCUCUUUGAAUUCCAAAGAGACAUCUAAAGGAAGCCCUCAGCUCUGAAGACCACCUAGCUGGAAUCUCAGAGGGAGAGCUGGGGACAGGAAAGGAUGACUACUCCCACCAUUCUGUGGACACCGAGUCCAGCCUCCGGGAGGACGCUGAGGGAACCUUUUGGGACAGCCAGGGCAGAGAACGCCUUUUACUUCUUAAGGCUCUGGAUCAAAACAGAGAAGCUUCUGUUUUGGAGCCUGGCAAUCCUCGAACAUCAGUGUGCAUUUUAAGCCAUAAAGCGCAAUACUGAUUACAAACAGGAAUACGGAGGGCUUCCUUUAAACUGCUUCAGAAAACAAACUCCUCGGGGACUUCGAAAGGAGCUCUCACCAUAGCUCCUGCAAUCCACUCUGAACAGGAAACCUUCUCAUCUAUUUAUUAAAACUGACCCCAGAAAGAUUUUCAACAGGGAAGCCUGGCUUUAUGUUGUGUAUAGCCACAAAGAAGAACAUAUAUUUUUAAAACACAUUGCCUGGGGAAGGCUCUCGCUCUGUCAGUGGUUCUUGAAUUCUGCAAGACAGCUGUUUCCUUCCUUUCAGUCUGAAUCAGAGAGGUUUGCAGCAAAAGCCAUUUUGGAGAGACCAGGUCAAGUUCAGCCUUCUCAGAUCCAAUUUUGCCACUACCAUGACCCACAGGAGAAAUUCCUCCCAGCUUGGGACUGUGCUAUCUCGGAUGACGUGACAGCGACAAGCCAUUUAGAGUGUGACUUGGGGCUUUUCAGAAGCGCAGAUGCACGGGAGGUCUGCAUUCAGGUAGUGACAGGUCACAAGGACAGCCGUGGAGGCUCCAAAAUUGGCCUGGGAAUUGGGAUUCAGUUCCACAGGAUGGGGCGGGGCCUGAGUCUCUGCAUUUCUGACAGGCUCUGAGGGGCUGCUGCAGCUGCUGGUCUCAGCCGGUUUUGCACUAGCGAAGCUCUCGACCCAGGCCGCCCACAGGAAACAGAAUGCCAGCCAGAUACAGG